rnacentral:rRNA from 1 species
ACUCGGCUCAGGAUGAACGCUGGCGGCGUGCUUAACACAUGCAAGUCGAACGAAGCAUACCUGACUGAUUGAAGAGCUUGCUCGGAUUGACGAUUGGUAUGACUUAGUGGCGGACGGGUGAGUAACGCGUGGGUAAUCUGCCCGGUACAGGGGGGAUAACAGCCGGAAACGGCUGCUAAUACCGCAUAAGCCGGCAGCACCGCAUGGUGCAGCCGGAAAAGCUGAGACGGUACCGGAUGAGCCCGCGUCUGAUUAGCUAGUUGGAGGGGUAACGGCCCACCAAGGCGACGAUCAGUAGCCGGCUUGAGAGAGUGACCGGCCACAUUGGGACUGAGACACGGCCCAAACUCCUACGGGAGGCAGCAGUGGGGAAUAUUGCACAAUGGGGGAAACCCUGAUGCCAGCAACGCCGCGUGAGUGAAGAAGUAUUUCGGUAUGUAAAGCUCUAUCAGCAGGGAAGAUAAUGACGGUACCUGAAUAAGAAGCCCCGGCUAACUACGUGCCAGCCGCCGC